AAUAAAGAUAUCCAAUUCUCGUGGCCUCUUGUAUGAAUGAACAACCAUCGACAACUAAUAAGCUCCCAUCAUUACGCCAGACCAGAGCCCACGUGCAUUAGACAGACGGCCAACUCACACCCAGCAUCACAACGAAAAUUAAUUACCGCGCAAAAGCCAAACAAAAAAGAAAGGAAAAUUUAAACAAGUCCGUCUAUACUCGUCGAAUCGCGCAGGCACGCGCAACGCAAACCACGGCCGGACUUGUCUGCUCCCAUCCUCACCUAGUUUCAAAAUUUCCUCUGUUAAACCCUACCCACCCGACGAAUCCCUCGCCAGAUCCAACCAGCUCGCCGGAGGAAUACUUCGGGAGGUUAGCGUGGAGAGAGAGAAGUAGGCGGCUGAGGGAGGGUUAGAGCUGGGCGACGCCGUCGCUGUCAUGGAAGCGCAGGCGACGGCGACGGCGACGGUGAAGGAGGCGCUCGCGGCGCUGUAUCACCACCCGGACGACGCCAUCCGCACCGCCGCCGAUCGCUGGCUUCAGGAGUUCCAGCACACGCUCGACGCCUGGCAGGUAGCUGACAGUUUACUUCAUGAUGAAAGCAGUAAUUUAGAAACUCUCAUCUUUUGUUCUCAGACCCUCAGAAGCAAGGUACAAAGGGACUUCGAAGAGUUACCCUCAGAAGCUUUUCGAUCAUUACAGGAUUCUUUAUAUGUAUUGCUGAAAAAGUUUAAUAAGGGACCACAAAAAGUUAGAACACAGAUUUGUAUUGCAAUUGCUGCCCUGGCUGUGCAUGUACCUGUAGAGGACUGGGGAGCUGGUGGAAUUGUGAAUUGGCUAAGCGAUGAAAUGAAAGCUCAUCCAGAAUUUAUUCCAGGCUUCCUUGAACUGCUUAUAGUUUUGCCGCAGGAAACUUCUAGUUAUAAAAUCGCGGCUCGUCCUGAAAGGCGCAGACAAUUUGAGAUUGACCUUUGUUCAUCUGCUAAUGUUGCUAUUGAUUUAUUAACUGCUUGCAUGGCCAUUGAUCAACUGAAAGAACAGGUUUUGGAGGGUUUUUCUUCUUGGCUUCGUUUCUGUCAUGGAAUCUCUGCCUCUGAACUCGCAUCACAUCCUUUGGUCCAUUUGGCACUCUCUUCAUUGAACUCUGAUCAAUUCUUGGAGCCAGCUGUAAAUGUUACAUCUGAACUGAUACAUGCUACUGUAUCUCAUGGCUCUGGUGCUAUUGCUGAGCGAAUGCCGCUCAUUCAAAUUCUUGUCCCUCAUAUUAUGGGUCUGAAAGAGCAGCUCAAAGAUCCAUCUAAGGAUGAAGAAGAUGUAAAAGCUAUUGCUCGUUUAUAUGCAGACAUGGGUGAAUCCUAUGUUGACUUGAUUGCCACAGGUUCAGAUGAUUCAAUUCAAAUAGUGAACGCAUUGCUAGAAGUUACUUCACUUCUGGAAUUUGAUAUUUCGUCUAUGACAUUUAAUUUCUGGCACCGUCUUAAGCGUAACCUGAUCAAGAGGGACUCUUAUGUAUCAUAUGGAUCAGAGGUGGCAAUCGAAGCUGAGAAAAACAGAAGAUUACAAGUAUUUCGUCCAAAGUUUGAAACUCUGGUCUCUCUGGUCAGUUUUCGAGUUGAAUACCCUGAGGACUAUCACACCUUUUCCGAGGAAGACCGCAGGGAUUUUAGACAUGUUAGAUAUGCUGUUAGUGAUGUGCUACUUGAUGCAACUGAAGUUCUUGGGGGUGACUCGACGCUAAAGCUACUUUCCACCAAGCUAGCUCAGGCAUAUGGGAGCUGCAACAAUGAGCAGAACCCCAAGUGGCAACCUGUAGAGGCUGCUCUGUUCUGUAUACAAGCAAUUGCGAGAUCAGUCUCAAUUGAGGAGAGGGAAAUUUUACCACAGGUUAUGUCACUGCUUCCCUGCCUUCCUCACCAUGAGCAGUUGCUACAAACAGUUUGUUCAACCAUUGGAGCAUUUUCAAAAUGGAUUGAUGCUGCACCAGCUGAAUUAUCUAUUCUACCACCUUUAGUUGAUAUUCUCAAUAAGGGUAUGAGUACAUCGGAGGAUACAGCUGCGGCUGCUUCUAUGGCCUUUAAGUACAUAUGUGAAGACUGUAGGAGAAAGUUCUCAGGGUCCCUGGAUGGCCUCUUCCAGAUAUACCAUAUUGCAAUCAGUGGAGUUGGUGGUUAUAAAGUUUCUUCAGAGGACUCGUUGCAUUUGGUUGAAGCCCUAAGUGCGGUUAUUACAACGCUUCCACCAGAAUCUGCUAGUAGAGCCCUGGAGCUAAUCUGCCAGCCAGUAAUCAAUCCCUUGCAAGAAUUAAUCCAGCAAGGUGAUCAAGUUCUUCAACAAGUCCCUGCUCGGCAUUUAACUGUACAUAUAGACCGACUAUCAAGCAUUUUCAGCAAUGUGAAACAACCAGAAGUAGUUGCUGAAGCUGUAUAUAGAUAUUGGCCGACACUCAAGAGUAUCUUUGAUCAACGAGCAUGGGAUACCCGUACCAUGGAGUCAAUAUGCCGAUCUUGCAAAUUUGCUGUAAGGACAUGUGGAAGGGUCAUGGGAAUGACGAUUGGUGCAAUGCUUGAAGAAAUCCAAACUCUCUACCAACAACACAAACAGUCUUGUUUUCUUUACUUGUCCAGUGAAGUUAUCAAGAUUUUUGGAUCUGAUCCAUCUUGUGCGGGCUAUCUUACUAACUUGAUACAAAUACUUUUCAGCCAUACAGUGCAACUUCUCAGAACGAUUCAAAAAUGUUUCAAAGAUUGGUUGACUGUGCAAUGGCUGGUAUAACUAUACAACACAGGGAAGCCUGUAAAUCGAUAUUGUCUUUUCUAUCUGAUGUCAUUGACCUUCCAAACUCAUCUGACGGGGGACAGUACCGUAAAGUUAUUAACACAAUCAUACUUCACCGUGGCGCAACCCUUACUAGAAUAAUGAUUGCUGCCUUAACAGGGGCGCUACCAUCUGGUCGUCUGGAGGAGGUUUCUUAUGUUCUGCUGUCACUUAGCAGAGUCUUUGGUGAGAACAUGCUGAACUGGGCAAGGGAAAGCAUUAAUCUUAUACCGCCACAAGCCCUAACAGAUGCAGAACGUUUGCGCUUCUUCAACACCAUAUCUGAUGCUGCUUCUGGGUCCAGUCUCCAUACCAUAACAGAUAGAUUUGGUGAAAUCUCAGAUGUCUGUAGACGAAACAAAACAGUGCAGGACCUAGUUCAGAGUGCCUUGCGGCCUCACGAUUUGACCUUCACAGUGGUUCCACAACAGAUGUGACAACUGGAUGUCUCUGCAAGGCAAGUUUAGAGAGCCAGUUCAUGCAUAGUUUCAAGUUGAGAAAAGCCACCGAGUCGGUGUUGAUGCAAGGCUAGCUCACUGUCAUCUUCGGAAUUUUUUCUCUCUCAGUUCAUACAGGUUUGAGUUGCGGCGGCAUACAGUUCAGAUUUGUUCAGAGCAUAGAUAGGUCAGUAAGCAUCGUAAUUCUUUCGUGUUUCUCCUUUGUACAUGUGCCGUAAAUUGUGUAUUUGGGGAGGGAGAUAAGUUGUGUUGUAUUAUCUCAACAACAAAGUGUGAUACGCUGGCAGAUCACGCGGAAUGGUGAUCUACCAUGGGCCUGAUUUUGCGUUGGCCGGUCAGCUUGUUUUUGUAAAGUGAGGUGGCCAUCGAUUUUAUCAUAUAAGCUUAUACCGGCUGUUGAAGGAA